rnacentral:lncRNA from 1 species
GUUGUGGUACAGGUGUGGGUUAGAGCACUAAUUAUUGAGGAGGUACUUCCACGGGUUACUCAGAGAUUCCAGUUGUUUAUCAUUGAUGAUCAGCGCCUGUUUUUUGCGUUUGUAUAUUUGUAAGGUUUCUGCUAUAGGGAGGUCUUCGGUGGAGUGCACUGGUUUAAUUAUUCUUGAAUCUUCCCAAUGGAUACUGGUGUCAUCUUCAUACGCUCGUUUGGCCGGAGCUGUUGUUAAUUUAGCAGUAGUGGUGUCCCUUUUAUGCUCUUUGGGCCUGUCCUCCAGGUUCCUUGCUGUUGCUCCCACGUAGAAUUCUUCUGUCCCUCUUUGCUGGUCGUGGAGGGGAGUCUGGUGUGCCCCCGUUUUUUGACAUUCACUUCUCCUAUCCUUUUCGUUCCGCAACAUGUUAAAAAUCGUGGGGGGUCUCUUGUAGGCG